UACGUAGGGGGCAAGGCGUUGUCCGGAAUCAUUGGGCGUAAAGAGCGUGUAGGCGGCUUGGUAAGUCCGCUGUGAAAGUCCAGGGCUCAACCCUGGAAUGCCGGUGGAAACUGUCAAGCUUGAGUCCGGAAGAGGCGAGUGGAAUUCCUGGUGUAGCGGUGAAAUGCGCAGAUAUCAGGAGGAACACCAAUGGCGAAGGCAGCUCGCUGGGACGGUACUGACGCUAGAGAACGCGGAAAGCAGUGGGGGAGCAAACAACGGAUUGAGAAAC
rnacentral:rRNA from 1 species